GCAUUCCAACUGGUACGUCAUUUGAAUGACCUGCAUCCAGACUGUAUAAAACUUGCACUGACGCAAUUGAGUGACAAGUUCAGCAGUCAUGCGACAAUGCCGAAGAUUUGUGCUUGCAGUGGACAGAACCAUCUUAUCCCUUACCAAAGCAAUAUCCAAGGGGACGGGACAGGCGACGUGAGAAGGCAAUGUUUACAUACAGACAGUUACUACAAAGGUAUCUACGACCAGUUUUACCCAGACAACGGAAACAACGCCCCUUCAUGUAGAACACAUCACUCACUUUGGUAUAACCUUUCCCGGGUGAGCACAGCAGUUAUUGCCGG